rnacentral:rRNA from 1 species
AUUGAACGCUGGCUGCAUGCUUUACACAUGCAAGUCGAACGGUAACAGGUUAAGCUGACGAGUGGCGAACGGGUGAGUAAUGCAUCGGAACGUGCCCGAUCGUGGGGGAUAACGCAGCGAAAGCUGCGCUAAUACCGCAUACGAUCUGAGGAUGAAAGCGGGGGACCGUAAGGCCUCGCGCGAUCGGAGCGGCCGAUGUCAGAUUAGGUAGUUAGUGGGGUAAAGGCCCACCAAGCCGACGAUCUGUAGCUGGUCUGAGAGGACGACCAGCCACACUGGGAAUGCGACAAGGCCCAGACUCCUACGGGAGGCAGCAGUGGGGAAUUUUGGACAAUGGGCGAAAGCCUGAUCCAGCAAUACCGCGUGCAGGAAGAAGGCCUUCGGGUUGUAAACUGCUUUUGUACGGAGCGAAAAGGUCCUUUCUAAUACAAGGGGCUCAUGACGGUACCGUAAGAAUAAGCACCGGCUAACUACGUGCCAGCCGCCGCUGUAA